UGCUGAAGCUGAAGCUCCAAUACUUUGGCCACCUGAUUCAAAGAGCUGACUAAUCGGAAAAGACCCUCAUGCUGGGAAAGAUAGAUGGCAGGGGGAGAAGGGGACGACAGAGGACGAGAUGGUUGGAUGGCCUCGAUGGCUCAAUGGGCAUGAGUUUAAGCAAACUCUGGGAGAUAGUGAAUGACAGGGAAACCUGGAGUGCUGCCAGUCCAUGAGGUUGCAAAGAGUUGGACAUGACUGAGCGACUGAACAACAACAGAUCUACUUGAGUCUCAGCUGGGUCUCAGCAACAGGCCUACAGAGACCUGCAUAGUCCGAUGGAUUCUGGGAGGGGAUGCCACACCUGAGGAAUGAGGGAACCGGACACCAUCAGGGGGAGCCUUGAUUUCUUUGCCUGCACAGAUGAGGGUUGCAUUGCCCCUCUCUCUCCAACCUUGUGAUGAACAAUGGCGAUGAGAAUGAGAUGGCAACAUAACUGGAAAAACAGAACGUGGUUUGUGAAUCCGGGAUUUAUUAUUACUAUCAUCUGAUUCAGAGAUGACCUGCUCCACAUCAGAAAAGCUCAGGACCCUUGAUGCCUGUAACCUCCCCUUGCACUUAGCUCUGGCCACGUGACAAAGUGUGGGCCACUGGGAUGUGAGCAGAAUAGUCUGGGUCUUUCCAUGAAAAGAAAAAUGUGGGUGAUAUCCCUAUUAACAGAAAGCAGUGAACAAAUCCUUAGAGUUCUUGAAGAAGAAAACCAAAGUAACAGAAAACGCAAUUGAAGAGAGACCCUGGAAGCAACAAUUUCAACAUCAGAGCCUCCAUCAGCUGGGCCCUCAAUGAGUACCCCUCCAACCUGGGAACUGCUUUAUCCUUUUAUGUGAAUGAAGAAUAAACUUGUACUGUGCUGCGACACUCCACUUCUUGAGGUUUCUGUGUUACAUCAGUUAGCCCAGCUCACCUAAUUCAAAAUAAAUGUGAAUCAUCUAAAAUACUUACAAAUUUGUAGCUUCAUUUUCAAUGAUAUAACCAAGAAGUUGAAGGAGGGUUUUGAGACAAAGAAAGAUAUUUGUAACAGCAAGAGUUUUAAUUGUUCUUACGUCUUUUCCUACUGUUCAUUCUCAAAAUAGACGUGCUUCCAAUGGCUGACGAAUCUAGUAAGUAAAGGAAAAUAAAACCAAUAAUCUAUAUCAAAAAGAGUUAUGAGCUUAUGAAUACUCACAUUACAGACAGGAUGUAGGCUAUAAAGAUGCAAUGAUGAACAUUACUGUCUCGUCUCAUCUAAGGGAAAGAGAUCACUACCAAAUGGAGUGAAGAUCCCCAAUCCUUCAGCCUUAGUUGCAAAGUCAAAGAAGUUUCGAAAACCAGUAUUUUUUCACAGGAUUGCAGCUAACUAAUUUGGACUUCGGCAGCCUUGAGUUCAAUAAAAUAUUUAUCACAGUUGAUGUGAAUUCACACAAUUUGCUGCAGCAACACUAACACAGUCUAUUUGAGAAUGAGAUGAGGUCCCAAACUUAUUGGGUUGUCUUGUAAUCUAUAGGAUAUACACCACACUGCCUUUCUAAAAUAAUAAAGCAUUAUUAUUUUA